CUAAUCUUUCCAUUGAUUAGACCCUAUCCAUACAAGCGAGAAGAGUAAUCAUCUUGUUUGAAGCUAUGGAAACAAUGUAACAAUAAUCCCACUUAGGUCGGAGUGCUAGGGUAAUGAAUUCUAUGAUGAACGAAAGUGAAUAUGCAUCGAGGCUUCGUAAAAGG
rfam:Ophiocordyceps sinensis CO18 unplaced genomic scaffold OCS_Scf_279, whole genome shotgun sequence.